UCGAGAAUCAUUCGCAAUGGGCGAAAGCCUGACGGUGCGACGCCGCGUGGAGGAUGAAGGCCCUAGGGUCGUAAACUCCUGUCAUCAGGGAGUAAUGGCUCACGUAGUAACUGCCGUGAGCAGUGAUAGUACCUGAAGAGGAAGGGACGGCAAACUUCGUGCCAGCAGCCGCGGUAAUACGAAGGUCUCAAGCGUUGUUCGGAUUUACUGGGCGUAAAGCGUCUGUAGGCGGAGUGGUAAGUCAGAUGUGAAAUCCCGGGGCUCAACCCCGGAACUGCAUCCGAUACUGCCACCCUAGAGGGUCGGAGGGGAGUCUGGAAUUCUCGGUGUAGCAGUGAAAUGCGUAGAUAUCGAGAGGAACACUAGUGGCGAAGGCGAGACUCUGGACGACACCUGACGCUGAGAGACGAAGGCCAGGGUAGCGAAAAGG
rnacentral:rRNA from 1 species